rnacentral:rRNA from 1 species
GGUUAAGCGACUAAGCGUACACGGUGGAUGCCCUGGCAGUCAGAGGCGAUGAAGGACGUGCUAAUCUGCGAAAAGCGUCGGUAAGGUGAUAUGAACCGUUACAGCCGGCGAUGUCCGAAUGGGGAAACCCAGUGCAAUUCGUUGCACUAUCGUUAACUGAAUACAUAGGUUAACGAGGCGAACCGGGGGAACUGAAACAUCUAAGUACCCCGAGGAAAAGAAAUCAACCGAGAUUCCCCCAGUAGCGGCGAGCGAACGGGGAGCAGCCCAGAGUCUGAAUCAGCUUGUGUGUUAGUGGAACGGUCUGGAAAGUCCGACGGUACAGGGUGAUAGUCCCGUACACCAAAAUGCACAGGUUGUGAACUCGAAGAGUAGGGCGGGACACGUGGUAUCCUGUCUGAAUAUGGGGGGACCAUCCUCCAAGGCUAAAUACUCCUGACUGACCGAUAGUGAACCAGUACCGUGAGGGAAAGGCGAAAAGAACCCCGGCGAGGGGAGUGAAAAAGAACCUGAAACCGUGUACGUACAAGCAGUGGGAGCACCUUCGGGUGUGACUGCGUACCUUUUGUAUAAUGGGUCAGCGACUUAUAUUCUGUAGCAAGGUUAACCGUAUAGGGGAGCCGCAGGGAAACCGAGUCUUAACUGGGCGUUAAGUUGCAGGGUAUAGACCCGAAACCCGGUGAUCUAGCCAUGGGCAGGUUGAAGGUUGGGUAACACUAACUGGAGGACCGAACCGACUAAUGUUGAAAAAUUAGCGGAUGACUUGUGGCUGGGGGUGAAAGGCCAAUCAAACCGGGAGAUAGCUGGUUCUCCCCGAAAGCUAUUUAGGUAGCGCCUCGUGAACUCAUCUUCGGGGGUAGAGCACUGUUUCGGCUAGGGGGUCAUCCCGACUUACCAACCCGAUGCAAACUACGAAUACCGAAGAAUGUUAUCACGGGAGACACACGGCGGGUGCUAACGUCCGUCGUGAAGAGGGAAACAACCCAGACCGCCAGCUAAGGUCCCAAAGUCAUGGUUAAGUGGGAAACGAUGUGGGAAGGCACAGACAGCCAGGAUGUUGGCUUAGAAGCAGCCAUCAUUUAAAGAAAGCGUAAUAGCUCACUGGUCGAGUCGGCCUGCGCGGAAGAUGUAACGGGGCUAAACCAUGCACCGAAGCUGCGGCAGCGACACUAUGUGUUGUUGGGUAGGGGAGCGUUCUGUAAGCCUGCGAAGGUGUGCUGUGAGGCAUGCUGGAGGUAUCAGAAGUGCGAAUGCUGACAUAAGUAACGAUAAAGCGGGUGAAAAGCCCGCUCGCCGGAAGACCAAGGGUUCCUGUCCAACGUUAAUCGGGGCAGGGUGAGUCGACCCCUAAGGCGAGGCCGAAAGGCGUAGUCGAUGGGAAACAGGUUAAUAUUCCUGUACUUGGUGUUACUGCGAAGGGGGGACGGAGAAGGCUAUGUUAGCCGGGCGACGGUUGUCCCGGUUUAAGCAUGUAGGCUGGUUGUCCAGGCAAAUCCGGAUAAUCAAGGCUGAGGUGUGAUGACGAGGCACUACGGUGCUGAAGUAACAAAUGCCCUGCUUCCAGGAAAAGCCUCUAAGCAUCAGGUAACAUCAAAUCGUACCCCAAACCGACACAGGUGGUCAGGUAGAGAAUACCAAGGCGCUUGAGAGAACUCGGGUGAAGGAACUAGGCAAAAUGGUGCCGUAACUUCGGGAGAAGGCACGCUGGUGUGUAGGUGAAGCCCCUGCGGGUGGAGCUGAGACCAGUCGAAGAUACCAGCUGGCUGCAACUGUUUAUUAAAAACACAGCACUGUGCAAACACGAAAGUGGACGUAUACGGUGUGACGCCUGCCCGGUGCCGGAAGGUUAAUUGAUGGGGUUAUCCGUAAGGAGAAGCUCUUGAUCGAAGCCCCGGUAAACGGCGGCCGUAACUAUAACGGUCCUAAGGUAGCGAAAUUCCUUGUCGGGUAAGUUCCGACCUGCACGAAUGGCGUAAUGAUGGCCAGGCUGUCUCCACCCGAGACUCAGUGAAAUUGAACUCGCUGUGAAGAUGCAGUGUACCCGCGGCAAGACGGAAAGACCCCGUGAACCUUUACUAUAGCUUGACACUGAACAUUGAGCCUUGAUGUGUAGGAUAGGUGGGAGGCUUUGAAGCGUGGACGCCAGUCUGCGUGGAGCCAACCUUGAAAUACCACCCUUUAAUGUUUGAUGUUCUAACGUUGGCCCCUGACCGGGGUUGCGGACAGUGUCUGGUGGGUAGUUUGACUGGGGCGGUCUCCUCCCAAAGCGUAACGGAGGAGCACGAAGGUUAGCUAAUCCUGGUCGGACAUCAGGAGGUUAGUGCAAUGGCAUAAGCUAGCUUGACUGCGAGCGUGACGGCGCGAGCAGGUGCGAAAGCAGGUCAUAGUGAUCCGGUGGUUCUGAAUGGAAGGGCCAUCGCUCAACGGAUAAAAGGUACUCCGGGGAUAACAGGCUGAUACCGCCCAAGAGUUCAUAUCGACGGCGGUGUUUGGCACCUCGAUGUCGGCUCAUCACAUCCUGGGGCUGAAGUAGGUCCCAAGGGUAUGGCUGUUCGCCAUUUAAAGUGGUACGCGAGCUGGGUUUAGAACGUCGUGAGACAGUUCGGUCCCUAUCUGCCGUGGGCGCUGGAGAAUUGAGGGGGGCUGCUCCUAGUACGAGAGGACCGGAGUGGACGCAUCACUGGUGUUCGGGUUGUCAUGCCAAUGGCACUGCCCGGUAGCUAAAUGCGGAAGAGAUAAGUGCUGAAAGCAUCUAAGCACGAAACUUGCCCCGAGAUGAGUUCUCCCUGAGACUUUAAGUCUCCUGAAGGAACGUUAAAGACGAUGACGUUGAUAGGCCGGGUGUGUAAGCGCAGCGAUGCGUUGAGCUAACCGGUACUAAUGAACCGUGAGGCUUAACCUU